rfam:Gossypium hirsutum cultivar TM-1 chromosome 1, whole genome shotgun sequence
UAUUAAAAGUUCUAUCUAUUUGUACAGUUAAAAAUUGACAUAACUAAUGGACCAUACAGUAACAUGUGGCGUACCAUGUAUACUUCAUGUUAACGUACGAGAAUCGAUUUUUAACAGUAGAAAUAAAUAAAAUUUUUAAUA